ACACCAUGUUUGCAUGAGUGGUGCAUAUACCAAAAUUGGAAUGAGAGAUUAGUAUGACUCCUGAGCAAGGAUGACAUGCAAAUUCAUAAAGCGUUCCAUAUUUUU
rnacentral:snRNA from 1 species